CAUGUGAGAUAAAAGCAGGGUUUCCCAUACUUGCCAGAUCUUAAGAACUGCCUGGAACUUUUGUUGAAAUUAGAGGUUCCCAGACCCCUCCAAAGUUCUAUUGUUCCAGAGUCUCCAGUAUAUUUAAGAAGUGCCACAGUGUUUUUUGAGCAGGUAGAUUUGAGAAGCACUGGAUAAACAACAGGAAAGCUCAUGGACUGGGAACUGGGAGACUCAAGUUUGGCUUCACCUCUGCCAUUUUCUAACAGUUCAUUUUCCAGAUCGUUCAGGGACAGUCUGGAAGCACCCAACUUGUAGACAGAAAUUGAAGACAUGCUUUCAUAGAGGCAGCGCAGAGCAACCCAAGUGUUUCUUAUCUGUUAACAAGUAUCAUAAAGGAGAAGACUAUUUCUGGUGACUUCUGCCUAUGUCACAUUGGCUAGAACUGUGUAUAACCACCACUAGCUGCAAGGGGGUCUUGUGUAUCUGGGUAUUUGGCUGCCCU